rnacentral:rRNA from 1 species
AGAGUUUGAUCCUGGCUCAGAUUGAACGCUGGCGGCAUGCCUUACACAUGCAAGUCGAACGGUAACAGGUCUUCGGAUGCUGACGAGUGGCGAACGGGUGAGUAAUACAUCGGAACGUGCCCAGUAAUGGGGGAUAGCUCGGCGAAAGCCGGAUUAAUACCGCAUACGCCCUGAGGGGGAAAGUGGGGGACCGCAAGGCCUCACGUUAUUGGAGCGGCCGAUGGCUGAUUAGCUAGUUGGUAGGGUAAAGGCCUACCAAGGCGACGAUCAGUAGCUGGUCUGAGAGGACGAUCAGCCACACUGGGACUGAGACACGGCCCAGACUCCUACGGGAGGCAGCAGUGGGGAAUUUUGGACAAUGGGGGAAACCCUGAUCCAGCAAUGCCGCGUGUGCGAAGAAGGCCUUCGGGUUGUAAAGCACUUUUGUCAGGGAAGAAAUCCUUUGGGCUAAUACCCUAGGGGGAUGACGGUACCUGAAGAAUAAGCACCGGCUAACUACGUGCCAGCAGCCGCGGUAAUACGUAGGGUGCAAGCGUUAAUCGGAAUUACUGGGCGUAAAGCGUGCGCAGGCGGUUGUGUAAGACAGGUGUGAAAUCCCCGGGCUUAACCUGGGAAUUGCAUUUGUGACUGCACGACUAGAGUGUGUCAGAGGGGGGUGGAAUUCCACGUGUAGCAGUGAAAUGCGUAGAUAUGUGGAGGAACACCAAUGGCGAAGGCAGCCCCCUGGGAUAACACUGACGCUCAUGCACGAAAGCGUGGGGAGCAAACAGGAUUAGAUACCCUGUAGUCCACGCCCUAAA